GUUCUGAGGAUGCUGUGCAAAAUGCUCUGAGGAGAAUCUUUUUAAUGUGGACAGAUUCGCUAUGUGCUCCUGAAGCUCUGUGUCAUGCAAGCAGCAGUUUCUCAAAGGUCCCAAUUCCUCCUCCACCAAUGGGAUUCUUAUUUCUGCAAGGGCUGCAAUAGUAACACUAUAGAAAAAGAGAGAAGAGGCCCUCUGCAUCUGUAUGUGUAUCUGGAGCUGUAUCGUGGAAGUGAAAGGGAUUAUUUCUGCACAGUUAUUUAACUACACUUUUCCUGGUGCCAAUGUUGAGAAGAAGUGAAGCUGGAGUGAGUAUGUUAAAUGAGACUAUCAAGGAGUUACAGAGUCACAUUCAAUGAAUCUGCAGACAGAAACUGUACUAUCUGAGAAAUACUCUUUGUCCUAUAAAGGAAAAAGUGCCAGAAAUAUCCUGAUUGCAGGAAUGAUAUGUGUAACGCGUAGAAACUCUCAUCACUUGAAGAGUCCAUUAUGGAAUUAUAUCUUUACAUCUUUAACUCACGUGCAAAACUAAUAUGAAGAAUGUUCGUGCUGCAGUUGGUUGAGAAGAACAAUGCAAUAAAUGGCUUUCCUUCUCUUCCAGUUAGUUGAGGUCUUCUGUGCCAGAGGAGCUUUUGAUUAUGAUCUGGAUUCACAAUUCAUAGAGAAUAUUUGGAAUCUGAUCCAAUACUCCCUAAGUCUAAAAGAACUGUGGGUAAGAAGGGAAGCCUGUAUGGCUAAAAGCAAGCUAAAGGGGUCAUUAGGAGUAAAAAGACAUUGUUCAGAAACUGCCUUCUAUUCUAGUUUAAAGCCUUACCAGACCCUGAGUCUAAAUCAGCACUGCACAGUUGGGAUGAAGAGUGAAAGGGAGGAAGUAAUAGUACCUGAAAAUCAAAUGGGGACUGUGAGACAUUUGGUUGUUCAUAUGUCUGGAAGAAAAGCUGGUGUUCCCACUUCUCUGUAGAACUGGUCUGGCUGAUUUGAGAGACAGGCCUCAGCUCUGUUCCCCAUCCCUGGUACUCAAGGGAAAAAUAAGGAUAAAGUUUAUUGUAAGUGAUAUUUUUGGUUAAUACGUACAACGGCCACCUGGUCCCUGCCUGAUCGCCAGCACAAACCAGAGCAGCCAGUUCAUAUCCCAUUUCCCCUGCUCCUUCUGGAGCUCUGGAAAGUAACAAAAAAAAGGGUAGAGCUGUGCACAUCAUCUUUUCUUCAAUUCCUCUUCUAUUCCUCGGUUCAAAAUCUGCCAUCAGUGUUGGGGCCUGAAGCAUAACUGAGGAAAGAGAUGCUUUUCUGCCUAUCUUGUGCCUCCUAAGGGGCUUCUGCAUAGAAUAUAGUUUAAUGUGGCCAUUUCUGCCUUCUUUUUCAUAAUCAGUGAUAUAAACAGACUAUACUCAAACUGUCCUCUGACCUAUAACUUGGGAAGAUCUAUGUUGGUAGAGCUGCAUUCAAUAAUAGCCCAGUCAAAGCUCUGACUACUGUGCAAUAAAAUUCUUUUUAUCCGUGCCAUACUAUGCUGUGGCUCAGAAGUAUUUUGAAUGUCAAGAUGUUGCCAAAGAUGCCUGUUGAUAUAAAGCAGAUGCGCGCUUUUCAUUCCAUCACAUGUUGUCUACAUGAGAUGGUGUUGAUAUUUAUAUAUUGACUUAUGACUUUCUUUCUGAGUUUGGACUUGGUUUUAUUUGCUAUGCUUGAGUCUCCCUGUAGUCCCCAGCUAUGGGGUAGUUUCUUCAGUGCUCAAGCUUUGAUAGGGCUAUCUGAAUGUAUAGGAAAUCUCUGUAAGAAAUGGUGAAUGGGAAUCCGGUGGUAUGUAACAGGAUCUCAGGCUUUUACUUACAAUCCCCUAACACACAUUAUAUAGUAUGUCUUCUGGUUGGUUGAUUGGUUGUG